GAUUUCAAUUGAAAAAGUCAUCAACAACAAAGUUGAAUAACUCAUCAAGAUCUAAAACUUUUAUUUUUGUUAUUUCUUCAUCCGACGAAAUGUUAGUAAUAUUAUUCACAAAUUUUACAUAUAUGUGUUAUAGUUUAUAAAACCAGAUAAGAGAUAUGUCAAUUUUGUGAACAAUGUUACUAUCACUUUGUCGUAUGAAGAAAUGACCAAAAUAAAAGUUUUAGAUCUUGAUGAGUUAUUCAACUUUGUUGUUGAUGACUUUUCAGUUGAUAUC
rnacentral:pre_miRNA from 1 species